UUUCCGUAGGUGAACCUGCGGAAGGAUCAUUAUCGUACAAAAUGUGAGGGGCAUGCGAGGGCUGUCGCUGACCCAAAAGUCAUGCACGCCCGAGUGUGUCCUCUUGCAUAAUAAUCCAUCUCACCCUUUGUACAUCACCGCGUGGGCACCCUUCGGGAUCAUCUCGGAGGGGGGCUCGCGUUUUCACACAAACCCCCCUUUUAAAAGUGUAGAAUGACCACAUUUAUGCAAUCAAUACAACUUUCAACAACGGAUCUCUUGGCUCUC
rnacentral:misc_RNA from 1 species